GAUGCAACCUCUAUUUCUCUCUGUUCUCUAGCUCAUUCCUUUCUAAGCACACCUGACACACAUAAGGUUUAAUAAUUUACAGGUAGAGGGCCUAGUUUGCCAGGCUAGGGACAUAUUCCAAUUUCUUUCCACAACUCUAAUGAGACAAAGCAGUCAGAAGCUUAUUGCAACCGCCACAUAAAAUCAGAUUUAUGGAUGCUUUUUGUCAGAGAGUGGUGUAAGGCAGUUUGAGUGUUCCGCUGAAUCUCUCCAUUCAUUCUCACCAUUCUCUACAACAAAGUUUCCCUGCCUGCUAAUGAAACAAGCACUGUUUCAUCUAGAAACUAAACUGGUAUCGUCAGAGAAGCUCAGUGUUGAACUGUCUCAGCUCUCAGCAAGGAGGCUUCUGUGUGUAUGGGCCACUCUGUGCAUCACUUCUUUCUCAGAGUCGCACAACAAAAGACCCCCAGGGCUUCAGAAGGUGGAUGUCGUUUGAAAAUUAGAUAUAGCUUUCUUCUAAUUGAACACCAUCCAGAAGAUUAAAGGGACUAUGUGAUUUGGAAACACCUGAAGAACUUGAUUUGGAGAUAUGAAUUUUACCAUUCACUACCAGGAGUGUUCACAUGAUAAUACUAUCUCCCUUCUGAACCCACAGCAAAAAGUCUUGAUAUUUCCCUGGAUAAUGACCACUAAAAGCAAAGCAAGACAAGGGAGAUAGCUCCACUGACUUGGAAUCUGAGGGGUUCAG
rnacentral:lncRNA from 1 species